rnacentral:rRNA from 1 species
GAUGAACGCUGGCGGCGUGCCUAAUACAUGCAAGUCGAGCGAAUGGAUUAAGAGCUUGCUCUUAUGAAGUUAGCGGCGGACGGGUGAGUAACACGUGAGUAACCUGCCCAUAAGACUGGGAUAACUCCGGGAAACCGGGGCUAAUACCGGAUAACAUUUUGAACCGCAUGGUUCGAAAUUGAAAGGCGGCUUCGGCUGUCACUUAUGGAUGGACCCGCGUCGCAUUAGUGAGUUGGUGAGGUAACGGCUCACCAAGGCAACGAUGCGUAGCCGACCUGAGAGGGUGAUCGGCCACACUGGGACUGAGACACGGCCCAGACUCCUACGGGAGGCAGCAGUAGGGAAUCUUCCGCAAUGGACGAAAGUCUGACGGAGCAACGCCGCGUGAGUGAUGAAGGCUUUCGGGUCGUAAAACUCUGUUGUUAGGGAAGAACAAGUGCUAGUUGAAUAAGCUGGCACCUUGACGGUACCUAACCAGAAAGCCACGGCUAACUACGCGCCAGCAGCCGCGGUAA